rnacentral:ncRNA from 1 species
UUUAUUUAGAAUAUUAAGUUUGAUUUUGGUUUUGGUUGUAUUAAGAUAGUAUUACUUAUUUUUAGUUUAUUUAGUGUUUAAUUUUUUAUAUACUGGUAGUUUAUUUAUUGUUUUAUUGGUGUUCCAGAAUAAUCGGCUAUACAUUUUAAUAUUUAACUCUAUUUGUUGUUGUAUCCUUUUUUGUUUUUUUUUUUUAUCUUAUAUUUGUAAAAUGUCUUAGGUUUUGAUGUAUUUAGAGGAUAUAUAAAAUUUGGUUUUUGAACUGGAUUAGUACCCAGGUAAUCAAAGUUUAUUAAUUCGGGAGUAAAGUUUAGUUUAAACCGAAAAAAUAUUGACUGACUUUGGAUUUUUCUUUGGAAUAUGUGAUUUUUGGAUAGUCCUCCUUGUUAGUUAAUCUUGUUGGCGCAUGUAUGAUUGUUUAGUUUUUAUUUUAUUUGUAAUGUUAUUAUGAUUUUUAUUUUAAAACAGAUAUAUACUUGGCUUAUGGAUUAAUAUUUCAUGUGUUACUAUUAUUAAUUUUUUUUUGGAUUUUUUGUUAAUGUUUUUUUGAAAUUGGAAAAGAAAGUAAUUGAAUUUUUUAUGUUUGGAUGAAUUUAAUAAACAAAGUGGUACAAACCAUCCGUCAAUGGCCUAAAGGGGCGUAAGUUGUAGUAUGGUAGUGGUAAGGAAACUUGUCUCUAUUUUUA